AUGGACGCGACACAUGUGGAGGCUGUGAGCGCUAUGAAUGGCAUUGGUCUUGUCAAACUUAUGGGCAGGAGCACGUGCCACAUUGCUCUUCAUGCCACCCUGAGCAGCUGA
rnacentral:rRNA from 1 species